rnacentral:rRNA from 1 species
GACGAACGCUGGCGGCGUGCUUAACACAUGCAAGUCGAACGAUGAACCGGGUGCUUGCACUUGGGGAUUAGUGGCGAACGGGUGAGUAACACGUGAGUAACCUGCCCUGGACUCUGGGAUAACCCCGAGAAAUCGGAGCUAAUACCGGAUAGGACCUUCUCCCGCAUGGGGGUUGGUGGAAAGUUUCUCGGUUUGGGAUGGACUCGCGGCCUAUCAGCUUGUUGGUGAGGUAAUGGCUCACAAAGGCGUCGACGGGUAGCCGGCCUGAGAGGGUGACCGGCCACACUGGGACUGAGACACGGCCCAGACUCCUACGGGAGGCAGCAGUGGGGAAUAUUGCACAAUGGGUGCAAGCCUGAUGCAGCAACGCCGCGUGCGGGAUGACGGCCUUCGGGUUGUAAACCGCUUUUAGUAAGGAAGAAGGGGCUUCGGCCUUGACGGUACUUGCAGAAAAAGGACCGGCUAACUACGUGCCAGCCGCCGCAGUAACAC